rnacentral:lncRNA from 1 species
GAGCCUUUAAUGGUAUUCCUCGAUCUCCAAUGGGUGGACCCUGUUAUUUGGGAAAAUUAGCUCUAGCACACCCAAGCCUUCACCAAUUACAGAAGUGGACAAGGAGGAUUAAAAGGAGUAUACACGAACUUGAUUGUAAGGGUGAGGGUGCACCAGAGUUUUGGGGCACCGCUGCCAGAAUCGCAACGUCGUUUCUGUGUCCAAGACGCGCGGCUGCUAAAAGCCUCAGGCUGCUUAGACAGUUAGCGUGCUGGGAGAGAGGAGAAUGGAACAUAACUUCUGAGACCCUCGAUGAACUUAGUCAGGAUGUUAUUAGCGUCCAACAUGAGUUACUGCAAAAUAGAGCAGCCAUAGAUUUUUCACUUUUGGCUCAUGGACAUGGCUGCGAAGAAUUUGAAGGUAUGUGCUGCAUGAAUCUGUCGGAUCAUAGUAAAUCCAUACAUGGCCAUCUAAGCGAAUUAAGAGAUAAUCUGAAAAAAUUGAAGGAACGGGACUCCAUUUUUGACACCUGGUGGCAUGGUCUAGGGUGGCCUGCGUGGGCUGCACAACUUUUAAAGGAAGGGUUGCAAUUAGCGGGUUUUGCACUUCUGUUGAUCAUCGCAGGAUUAGUUGCCUUAGGCACUGUUAGACGCCUGCUGCAAAAGGCUGCCCAUAUGAUCUUGCUAGCGCAAAAAGAAAAGGGGGGAGAUGAGGUGGAAGAAUGGUUAAAAGAAUUGGGGCGCUAUGAAUACGCUAACCCUGUAUUUAACCUAGAGUAACCCGGGCACAAUGCAUACGCUAACCCUGUGUUUGACCUAGAGUAACCCUAGGGUAAAAAGUAGGGUGCGAGCCGCUUGAGCAAGAGCAAGUAGGUACACCCCCUGAAUCCACCACCUGGAUCUGGAGGUCGCAGAGUAAGCGGAACGAGACUACCGGUAGCACGUGAACCGAGUGACCAGACCAAUCAGGCUGCUGGAGGAUGCGCGUGGACCAAGAGACUUAACCAAUCCAAGCACUGGAAGUGGCACGUGAUAGCUCAGGGGGAAAUAAAAGAUCACUGGGGGAAAGCUUCGGGGCUGCUAUGCAGACGCUAGAAUAAA